UACAGAGGUCUCAAGCGUUGUUCGGAUUCAUUGGGCGUAAAGGGUGUGUAGGUGGCGCCGUAAGUCGGGUGUGAAAUUUCGGAGCUUAACUCCGAAACUGCAUUCGAUACUGCGGUGCUUGAGGACUGGAGAGGAGACUGGAAUUCAUGGUGUAGCAGUGAAAUGCGUAGAGAUCAUGAGGAAGACCAGUGGCGAAGGCGGGUCUCUGGGCCGAUACUGACGCUGAGGAGCGAAAGCGUGGGGGAGCAAACAGG
rnacentral:rRNA from 1 species